AUACAUAUCAAUAAGCGGAGGAAAAGAAACCAACAGGGAUUGCCUCAGUAACGGCGAGUGAAGCGGCAACAGCUCAAAUUUGAAAUCUGGCCCCAGGCCCGAGUUGUAAUUUGCAGAGGAUGCUUUUGGUGAGGUGCCUUCCGAGUUCCCUGGAACGGGACGCCAUAGAGGGUGAGAGCCCCGUCUGGUCGGACACCGAGCCUCUGUAAAGCUCCUUCGACGAGUCGAGUAGUUUGGGAAUGCUGCUCUAAAUGGGAGGUAUAUGUCUUCUAAAGCUAAAUACCGGCCAGAGACCGAUAGCGCACAAGUAGAGUGAUCGAAAGAUGAAAAGCACUUUGAAAAGAGAGUUAAAUAGCACGUGAAAUUGUUGAAAGGGAAGCGUUUAUGACCAGACUUGGCCCGGUUGAUCAUCCAGCGUUCUCGCUGGUGCACUCUGCCGGUCCAGGCCAGCAUCAGUUCGUCGCGGGGGAUAAAGGUUUCGGGAAUGUGGCUCCUCCGGGAGUGUUAUAGCCCGUUGCGUAAUACCCUGCGGUGGACUGAGGUCCGCGCUUCUGCAAGGAUGCUGGCGUAAUGGUCAUCAACGACCCGUCUUGAAACACGGACCAAGGAGUCGUCUUCGUAUGCGAGUGUUCGGGUGUAAAACCCCUACGCGUAAUGAAAGUGAACGCAGGUGAGAGCUUCGGCGCAUCAUCGACCGAUCCUGAUGUUCUCGGAUGGAUUUGAGUAAGAGCAUACGGGGCCGGACCCGAAAGAAGGUGAACUAUGCCUGUAUAGGGUGAAGCCAGAGGAAACUCUGGUGGAGGCUCGCAGCGGUUCUGACGUGCAAAUCGAUCGUCAAAUAUGGGCAUGGGGGCGAAAGACUAAUCGAACCUUCUAGUAGCUGGUUUCCG
rnacentral:rRNA from 1 species